AAGUUCCUGUUGUUGCGUCACUUCCGUCGCGCUUCUGGGCGGUGCCAAGAUGGACGCUCCGCGGGCCCGGGAGCAGCUCCGACGGCGAUACCUGUUCCCGCCCGACACCGAGGCCCCGCUGGACAGCGAGGGCUACGCCGGGCCGGAAACCUCUACAGCUGUUGAAAAAAAGGAGAAACCUCUUCCAAGACUUAAUAUCCAUUCCGGAUUCUGGAUUUUGGCAUCCAUUGUUGUGACAUACUACGUUGAUUUCUUUAAAACUGUUAAAGAAAACUUUCACACUAGUAGCUGGUUUGUCAUUGGCAGUGCCCUGCUGCUCCUCAGCCUGUCGAUCGCAUGUUACUGUAUCCUCUACCUGGAGUGGUGUCGGGGAAUUGAAGAUUACGACGUCCGGUAUCCCACCUUGAUCCCUGUCACCACCGCUGCUUUUCUUGCGGCUGGAAUUUGCUUCAAUGUUGCUCUGUGGCACGUGUGGUCCUUCCUCACUCCACUGGUGUUGUUCACUCAGUUUAUGGGGGUUGUGAUGCUCAUCUCACUGCUUGGCUGAUUUCUAAAGGGCCCUCCUCCAUGGAGCAGCCAGGGUUUCCUCCCCGCAGAGGAGCUCCAAUCCAAAGAUGGCCUUGGGACUACCUUCACCGACAGAGUACGCCAGAAAGGACGUUGUGUGGCUUCUAAGGCUGGGUCGUAAAGGCCAUUUGGCUUCUGCUGGGUCUCUUGGAGCGCUUGCCAUCCAGGUGUUCCCUCCUGGGAUGCUCCCUCUCAAAGCCCAGCUGUAAAGCCAUGGCAGGUUCAAGCCACAUGCAGAGGGUGUGUGGGGAACCCAGCUGAGCCCAACCUUUGGGUUCAUUCAGGUGCCAGAAUGUGAAUGAAACCUUCAGGGGUUUCAGCCCUGGCCAUCAAGCCAUCUGCAGCUGCUCUCAUCUUCCCCGAUAAGGGCCUGAACACCGUAGAGCAAAGGAAAAAGCAGCCCGCUUCCCCCAUGUCCCCUGCAAAUUCUGACCCCAGAUCCAUGGGCACAACAAAAUGGUCACUAUGCGCCCCUAAGUUGGGUGGGUGAUUGGGUUGUGGUAGAACUUGCUGCUGACAACAGACGCCAUCACUGAGCUGCCUUUCCCUGGGAAGACCUGCCUGGUGGACGUUUGAUCACAUCAGAUCCCUUCCAUCAUGGAGGGAACAGAGAUUUGUCCUCCCUAGAAGAGACAUGGACGCCGAAGGUGAGUUUGCCUUUCCUCCCCGUGCCGCUUCUGCUGGCUUGUCCACGAUCAGUCUUCCACACCACACUGCUGCUGACCCCCGACCAUGGACUUAACCCAGUGCCCAGGACUUCCCAUCCAGCCAGAGCCCAUUCUAGUGCUUUCCAAAGGAUUUGCAUAGAAAAGAAUGAUAGUAGCGGAAAAAGAAGUUAAAUCCUAAUAAAGACUGUAGCUUAGCUAGUA